CUGGAACACGGGGAGCAGAUGGGGAGGGGAAGCUGUGGGUAGAAGAUUCUGUCGCGGUUUAGGCAGCAAGAGAUGGAGGAGGGCAGGCAAGGAGGCUCUGAUUUAGUUAACCCAAGGAAGGAUGAUGCAUAGGUCCACAAGACCCCCAAGAUGCCAGAGCACAGAGAAUCUAUACAACAGGGCUGAGUGCGGUACAUGCCAGCAAUAUUAGCACUUGGGAGAUGGAGUGAGCAACACCAGCCAGUGACCAUUGUCAGCCAGUGAAUGGCAUCAUCCAGUGAGCGGUGUCAGCCAGUGAGCAAUGUCAUCCAGUGACCAUUGUCACCCAGUGAGCGGCAUCAGCCAGGUCUCGGAGUUUCACAGUGCUAUCAAAUAUCCCACAACACAUGGAUAUCUUUGGAGAGUCCUUCUUUUGCCUACCUCAACCAGCUUGAAGAGUCUCCACUUCUGGCUGCUUUCCCUCACUCCACCCCAGGCUGAAUUUGUAAGAUUCCCAUAUAUUAAGAACUAUGCCUUCUUGGAGUGUUUCUUGCGGGAGACUGAAAAUCCCACCAGGACAGAAACCACUCAAAUACAUCUCCACACUCCAAGUGCCCAACAUGGCAUUGGGCAUAUAGGACAAGCUAAUGGGCCUUUCCGAAUAAAUGAAUAAACUCUGGUUGCUUUUAGUAAUAAGAGCACAUUAAGCUAUCUAUAUAUAUGACAAGAAAACUUUUUAUAAUCCUAUUCAAUUUUGUUGUUGUUGUUGUUGUUGUUGUUGUUGUUGUUGAAAGAGGGUUUUACCUCAUACCCAUGCUAGCCUCAUAUUCACUGGGUACUCAGGCUGGCCUUGAACUCACAGCAAUCCUUCUGACUCAAUUGCUUGAAUGCUUGGAUUGCAGGCAUAUUCAUCAAGUCCUAUCUGGCCUCUUGAAAAAUACUAAAUCAAUAUGUUAUAAUGCACAUAGGUAUCAUUUCUAGUCUUCACACCCAUCCCCCAGAUGUCCAAAACCAAUGGCUAGGCUUCUGUGUGUUACAUAUGCUUUAAUAUCUACCAGCUAAACAUAUUCAUGCAAGAGCACUUAGACAUGAAUGUCAUCAGUGUUUCUACUGUAACCAGAGGCUUUUCUCUGUCUCAUCUCAUCCCAUAGCCACUUCUAAAUAAGCAUUCAGAGGCUUAUAUUAAUUGUAAAUGCUUGGCCAAUGGCUCAGGCUUGUUACUAGCUAGCUCUUACAUUUAAAUGAACACAUUUCUAUUAAUCUAUAUUUCGCCACAUGAUGCUGUGGCAUUACCUGUUCUCUAGUAUAUCUUGUUGCUCUGGCAGCUCACUGGAAUCUGUUCUGACUCUGCCUUCCUCUUCCUAGAAUUCUCCUAGUCUGACUGUCAUGCUAAAUCUCUUCCUGCCCAGCCAUCAGCCAAUCAGCUUUAUUAUUAACAACAAGUAUAAUCCACAUCACCUCCCCCUUAUUGUCUAAUUAAAAAGGAAGAUUUUAACUUUAACAUAGUAAAAUUACAUACAACAAAACAGUUAUCAAGCAAGAAUUAUAGUUACAAUA